rnacentral:lncRNA from 1 species
GGAACACAAGGACCCGAAUUUUCUCUUCCCCUCAGAUCGUCCAUAGGAGUACAGUCAUCUCACCAAGAGCCGAUUGGCACUGAGGGCAUAAGCAGGUCCUUGAACACCAAAGUGGAUCCGUCACAAGUCCUUGAGCUAACUGCCUUUUCCCCUUAUUUACGGUAAGAAAGAGCCCCUCACUCCUGGCCUUGGUUUUUUGUGUUGACCUUUAAAAGCUUCUUGACAUCUUUAUAUUUCUAAUGGAAAAUAACAAAACAAAAACCCAAACCAACCAGGUAAUCAUGACAUUGAAAUUUUCAACAUAAGCCGAGCGGAUCAAUAGGAAAGACUGUGUUUGGCAGCUGAAUUUAGGUCAGUGUGGUUUUACAAAAAUGGCUUCUGUACAAGGGGAGAGGUUGAGCUGUCAUGAACUCUGGAGAUGUGUCAACUGACAACACCAGACUGACUUUGGCUUUGACGAAGUCUGAAUAGAAUUGGUUCCAAAUGCCCACUGCCUCCGUCUCCUGUGGGGUGUGGCAGGACGUCUCACAGUGAGCACACGCCAUUUGGGAGCUCAUGGUAUGUGGUCGGUUUGGCCCAGUGCUGCCAAGAGUUGGCAACACCAGCUCAGUUCAGCCGGUGUUUUGCAAACAAACAUCACUUUGGAGAUACAGACAUGAGCUGCCCACUGCAGCCAGGUGGGCUGGGCACAGCCAACCCCUUCAAGGGCCAGGGCUGGCCUCCCAAGCCAAGGUUUUCCCUUACCAGUGAGGCAGGCUCUGCACUUACACUGCGGGAGCAGGGAUGCGGGGCUGGCUUGUGGAAGGUAGGUUAGGCAUCGAGUGGCUACACAUACAGGAGAGUGGAAACAUAAAACUGUACAAAGUCACACUUGGCACACAGUUGAUAUAGUCACAGCUGGAGCUACUAGGGCUUUCUAAGGGCACACUCAGCAGUUCUUACCAAUGAUGUUUUCUUGCCCAGUUGUGAAUAAGCCAUAGGUAGAAGCUCCUGGAGGCUUCUGGUUGAUUGUCUUGCAGGGCUGUCCUACUAGAACUGGGAUCCUAGACCUAACACUGCAAAUAACAGUUCUGUUUCUAACAUCUAACACCAUGCUACUAAUUUACCCUGGACUCCGGCCAGGCACAGAUUUCUAUAUAUUCACAAUACAAUUCAGGAUAUUUUGAUAAUAUUUGGAAACAUGCCUCAAACAUGCAACUUACUUCAGAGGAAAAAAAUAGAUAUUUUUAAUUACAAGCAUUCAAAAGUCAAGAACAAAAACUGUGAUCCAAACCAGUGUAAGAUCGUCCAUCCCAGCAUACUUAAAAUGUUUGGUAUAAAAAUACUCACUUUUCUUGGUUUUAUUGUUGACUUCUCUUACGUUUCGUUUGAAAAUAUCUCCAAACUGUACAGAAAUUUCAGACCAUGCAUUCACA